rnacentral:ncRNA from 1 species
CCUGCACGACGCCGCGUCACAGGUCGGGAUGUGAUCCGCGGGGCUCGGCCCCGGUCGGGAUUGAACCAGCAA